UUGCUUUGGCAGCACAUGUACUAAAAUUGGAAUGACAGAAGAUUAGCAUGGCCCCUGCAUAAGGAUGACACACAAAUUUGUGAAGUGUUCCAUAUUUUU
rnacentral:snRNA from 1 species